UGACCAGCUCAUUUUGCAGACAGCAGU
rnacentral:piRNA from 1 species